ACAUGGGAAGCUGAAGAAGAUAUGAAGGCUAACUAUCCUCAUCUAUUUAUGCCUUCUGAUGACGAUAUUCAAGAUACAGGUGUUAGAGAUCCUCAACAGGCGCAUCGUUGAAGAUCAUUUCUUUUCAGCUAUUUGGUGAGUCCUUCUUGUAUUCGAAGGAACUCCUUAUCCUUUUAUUAUUGUUGAGUGUGAUGUUUCUUUUGAGGUAGCCAUGGACAUGUCAUUGGCACCAUCUAAGAGUAUUAGAGGCUUCAUAGACAGAGUCUGAUGAUGUAAUCGGAGUAGUUCUCCUUAGAAACUACUUCUUAUAAAAGUUAUCUAUUUUUCCUUUGA